rnacentral:SRP_RNA from 1 species
CCGUGCUAAGUGGGGAGUUAGCGGUGCCCUGUACCCGCAAUCCGCUAUAGCGGGACCGAACCGCCCCUCUCGACGACUAAAGUGGAAAGCAGCCCUUUAUAAGGGGUGUUGAUAACAAGGUCUUAUGCAACUUUUCGCCGUGAACCGUGUCAGGAUAGGGAUAUAGCAGCACUAAGCGGAAUGUUGAGUGUGCCAUAAGGUAGCCUUGUAGGAGCCACCUGUAAAGGUAACGUUUCGGCUUUAUUCG